rnacentral:rRNA from 1 species
GAGCAAUCUGCCCCUGACUCUGGGAUAAGCGCUGGAAACGGCGUCUAAUACCGGAUACGAGCUGCGAAGGCAUCUUCAGCAGCUGGAAAGAAUUUCGGUCAGGGAUGAGCUCGCGGCCUAUCAGCUAGUUGGUGAGGUAAUGGCUCACCAAGGCGUCGACGGGUAGCCGGCCUGAGAGGGUGACCGGCCACACUGGGACUGAGACACGGCCCAGACUCCUACGGGAGGCAGCAGUGGGGAAUAUUGCACAAUGGGCGCAAGCCUGAUGCAGCAACGCCGCGUGAGGGACGACGGCCUUCGGGUUGUAAACCUCUUUUAGCAGGGAAGAAGCGAAAGUGACGGUACCUGCAGAAAAAGCGCCGGCUAACUACGUGCCAGCAGCCGCGGUAAUACGUAGGGCGCAAGCGUUAUCCGGAAUUAUUGGGCGUAAAGAGCUCGUAGGCGGUUUGUCGCGUCUGCUGUGAAAACCCGAGGCUCAACCUCGGGCCUGCAGUGGGUACGGGCAGACUAGAGUGCGGUAGGGGAGAUUGGAAUUCCUGGUGUAGCGGUGGAAUGCGCAGAU